rnacentral:rRNA from 1 species
AACAGGAUUAGAUACCCUGGUAGUCCACGCCGUAAACGAUGUCUACUAGCUGUUCGUGGUCUUGUACUGUGAGUAGCGCAGCUAACGCACUAAGUAGACCGCCUGGGGAGUACGGUCGCAAGAUUAAAACUCAAAUGAAUUGACGGGGGCCCGCACAAGCGGUGGAGCAUGUGGUUUAAUUCGACGCAACGCGAAGAACCUUACCUACUCUUGACAUCUAGCGAAGAUUGUAGAGAUACGAUUGUGCCUUCGGGAACGCUAAGACAGGUGCUGCAUGGCUGUCGUCAGCUCGUGUUGUGAAAUGUUGGGUUAAGUCCCGCAACGAGCGCAACCCUUAUCCUUAGUUGCCAGCACGUAAUGGUGGGAACUCUAGGGAGACUGCCGGUGAUAAACCGGAGGAAGGUGGGGACGACGUCAAGUCAUCAUGGCCCUUACGAGUAGGGCUACACACGUGCUACAAUGGUAUGUACAGAGGGAGGCAAGCUGGCGACAGUGAGCGGAUCUCUUAAAGCAUAUCGUAGUCCGGAUCGCAGUCUGCAACUCGACUGCGUGAAGUCGGAAUCGCUAGUAAUCGCAAAUCAGAAUGUUGCGGUGAAUACGUUCCCGGGCCUUGUACACACCGCCCGUCACACCAUGGGAGUGGGUUGCAAAAGAAGUAGGUAGCUUAACCUUCGGGAGGGCGCUUACCACUUUGUGAUUCAUGACUGGGGGUGAAGUCGUAACAAGGUAACC